rnacentral:rRNA from 1 species
GACGAACGCUGGCGGCGUGCUUAACACAUGCAAGUCGAACGGAAAGGCCCUUCGGGGUACUCGAGUGGCGCACGGGUGAGUAACACGUGGGUGAUCUGCCCUGCACUUUGGGAUAAGCCUGGGAAACUGGGUCUAAUACCGAAUAGGACCACGCGCUUCAUGGUGUGUGGUGGAAAGCUUUUGCGGUGUGGGAUGGGCCCGCGGCCUAUCAGCUUGUUGGUGGGGUAAUGGCCUACCAAGGCGACGACGGGUAGCCGGCCUGAGAGGGUGACCGGCCACACUGGGACUGAGAUACGGCCCAGACUCCUACGGGAGGCAGCAGUGGGGAAUAUUGCACAAUGGGCGCAAGCCUGAUGCAGCGACGCCGCGUGAGGGAUGACGGCCUUCGGGUUGUAAACCUCUUUCAAUAGGGACGAAGCGCAAGUGACGGUACCUAUAGAAGAAGCACCGGCCAACUACGU